rnacentral:rRNA from 1 species
UACCUGGUUGAUCCUGCCAGUAGUCAUAUGCUUGUUUCAAAGAUUAAGCCAUGCAUGUCUCAGUAUCUGUUCUUGUACUGCUAAACUGCGAAUGGCUCAUUAAAACAGUUAUAGUUUACUUGACAUUCAAUCAUUAUGUGGAUACCUAUGGUAAUUCUAGAGCUAAUACAUGCGUCCAAACUCGACUUUCGAAGGGUUGUGCUUAUUAGAUCCCGAACCAUCCCAGACUUGUCUGGUUUCUGUUGAUUCAUAAUUUCCGAGCGGAUCGCACGGUUAGUCCGGCGACGAGGCAAUCAAAUUUCUGACCUAUCAGCUUCCGACGGUAGGGUAUUGGCCUACCGUGGCUUUGACGGGUAACGGGGAAUUAGGGUUCGAUUCCGGAGAGGGAGCCUGAGAAACGGCUACCACAUCUAAGGAAGGCAGCAGGCGCGCAAAUUACCCAAUCCUAAUACAGGGAGGUAGUGACAAUAAAUACUAAUAUGAGGCUCUAGAGCUUUGUAAUUGGAAUGAGAAGAAUUUAAAUCGCUCCUCGAGAAUCAAUUGGAGGGCAAGUCUGGUGCCAGCAGCCGCGGUAAUUCCAGCUCCAAUAGC